CAAUAGUAUAGAUACUGGAAAUAUUCAACCAGCCCAAGAGGAUGCCUUAAUUAUCUAUAUGACUAAGCAUAGCGAAUUUGCUGCGAAUAGGUAUACGAGUUGCAAUGGCGAAUAAGCGAGAAACCUGCAAUGGGACAGAGUUGCUGAACAAGUUAGCCAGUGUGGACCUGACAAAACUGCUAAACAAGUUCAAGCUUGUUGGAACAGUCUUAUAGCAAAAGCAAAAAAAUAUAAUGCUAAAAAGAAAAGAGCAUUAAAAGAAACAGGUAAUAUAGAUAACGAAAAAUAUUUUAUUAUUGAUUCAAAAUUGGAGUCGGUACUAAGUACUGUUGAAUCAUCGCACAAUAAUGGAUUAGAAAUGGUUCCAGAAACAGGAAUAGAUACAACCAAAUAGAAGUGUACAAGUAGUAACCUCUAAAAGUACCUGCAAAGAAGAGAAGACAGAACAGAGUAGUGUACGAAGUCCUUCCAGUGGGCAGUCAGCCAGCUAGCAACACGCUACCUAAUACCACAACAUCGUGUGUUGUUCAAGUUCCUGUGACUAUGCCCACUGACAGACCAUCAACAUCCCAUGCGACUACUUAAGUUUUGUCAAAGAAAUCAGCUGCAUUGGAAAAGAUAUCAGGGAUCCGUACUAAGAGACAAAUUGACAGCACUGCUAAUUUGCCAACUUAUGCACUGAUUUAUGUGAAAAAAAAUGUUUACGACUGAUCAAAUAUUAAAAAUAAUAUAAUCUAAUAGGUUCAAUAAAAUUUUG